rnacentral:misc_RNA from 1 species
AUUUUCCCUCUCUUUUUUUUUUUUUUUUUCCUUCUGGGAAUUACAGAAUUAAUCCAUUAGCAAUGGCUCGAUUGGUAUCGAGAUGGGUUGUUUCAUACACAGGCAAUUCUUCGUCAUACCUUUCAAUCCCAAUAGCAGAAAGAUUAUCCAAUUCGAACAAAUCAGAACUUGCACAACUUGCUGCAUCAUCAUCAUCUUCUUCUUCCUCGCUAGUCUCUCCAUUGCCAUUGCAAAGAUCUCUUGCAGCAAACUCUUCUUGCUUCUUCUUUUGAUAAUUCUUUAAGAGAUCCCUUGUAACUUCCUCAACUCGGCGACUUUCAUUCAUGACAUGGAACUUUAGGUCUUCAUUUGUGAGAUUUCUUGUAGCUGUGACUGCCAUUAGAGUCUCUUCAUGAUUUCCAUAGAGACUUUUAUGUCCACAAGGUCUAGAAUCCUCAUCCACAAUCACACUAACUGGGUAAAACCUCACCGACCUUUUUGUUCCAUUGCUCAAUUU